ACCAGACUCCUACGGGAGGCAGCAGUGGGGGAUAUUGCACAAUGGGCGCAAGCCUGAUGCAGCGACGCCGCGUGAGCGAAGAAGUAUUUCGGUAUGUAAAGCUCUAUCAGCAGGGAAGAAAAUGACGGUACCUGACUAAGAAGCUCCGGCUAAAUACGUGCCAGCAGCCGCGGUAAUACGUAUGGAGCAAGCGUUAUCCGGAUUUACUGGGUGUAAAGGGAGCGUAGACGGCCAGACAAGUCAGAAGUGAAAGCCCAGGGCUCAACCCUGGGACUGCUUUUGAAACUGCCGGGCUGGAGUGCAGGAGAGGUAAGCGGAAUUCCUAGUGUAGCGGUGAAAUGCGUAGAUAUUAGGAGGAACACCAGUGGCGAAGGCGGCUUACUGGACUGUAACUGACGUUGAGGCUCGAAAGCGUGGGGAGCAAACAGGAUUAGAUACCCCAGUA
rnacentral:rRNA from 1 species